GGAGAGAUGGCAGAGUGGUCGAAUGCGGCAGACUCGAAAUCUGUUAUAGAGCUUGUCUCUAUCUGGGGUUCGAAUCCCCAUCUCUCCGCCA
rnacentral:tRNA from 1 species